UUUUUUAAAUGUACACACGUGUGGAAAAGAUGGCAAGGUGCAGGAUACAAGAUGAGGUGUCGACGCUUAUCCAGCACAACCAUCAAAGAAUCUGUUAAAUCUACACAGACAAAGGGUGUCAAGGAAUCGGCUGCAUCAUCUUGUGUUGUCACGCUAAGUAGUGGAAGAGGGUGUCGGGAAUGCAGUGUCAAGAUAUUGGUGACCCUGGCCUAAUUCAUUGUUGGACUUGGAUGUUGAAGUUUGUGCCUGUUAAAAGAUUGUGCUUUCACAGUGUGAGGUAGUAGAUUGUAUAGUUGUGGGAUAGUGAUGUUAUCCUGUCUGGAAGAUAACUAUACAAUCUAUUGCCUUCCCUGAGGGGCAGAGAUUCAGUCAGGUUACCUCUCAAAAUUGUUUAAUGUGAAGUCCAUAACAAUGACUUGUUAAUGAAUAAUACUAUUGUCUUAUGUAAAUAAGUCCUUGUUUUUGAAUUAAUAAAUAAAAUGUCAUUCAUAA